AUGGAGAGACAGAGCGCACCACUUCUGGUGAAGAGGCCGAAGGAGAGGGAAGGCCAGGUCCAAAGACUGGCCAGCGAGGUAUGGGAAGAGUCCAUGAAGCUGUGGGAGGUGGUCGGCCCGGCCGUGUUCAUGAGGCUGGUCCUCUAUAGCUUGAACAUCAUCAGCCAGUCCUUCGCCGGCCAUCUCGGCGACGCUGAGCUCGCCGCCUUCUCCAUCGCCAGCACCGUCAUCUCCGGCUUCAACCUCGGCUUCUUGCUUGGCAUGGCGAGCGCACUGGAGACGCUGUGCGGCCAGGCGUACGGCGCGAAGCAGUACGCAAUGCUGGGCGUGUACAUGCAGCGCUCGUGGCUUGUCCUCUUGGCUUUCGCGGCGCUCCUUUCCCCGACCUACAUCUUCAGCGGGCAGCUGCUCAGCGCGCUCGGCCAGCCCGCCGAUCUGGCCCGCGAGGCCGGCGCGGUCAGCGCGUGCCUGCUCCCACUGCACUUCAUGUACGCCAUCCUCCUGCCGCUCAACAAGUUCCUCCAGUGCCAGAGGAAGAACGCGGUCACCGCGGUGACCACCGCCGUGGCGUUCCCGGUGCACGCCGCGGUGACCUGGCUGCUGGUCAGCUACUUCGGGCUGGGAGUCAUCGGCGCCGCCAUCGCGCUCAACUUCUCAUGGGCGCUCGUCGUGGCGCUGCAGCUCGCGUACGCCGUCGGAGGCGGCUGCCCGGAGACGUGGAGAGGGUUCUCGUCGUUGGCGUUCGUGGACAUCUGGGGUUCGUUAAGUUGUCCUCGGCGUCCGGAGUCAUGUUGUGCUUGGAGAGUUGGUACUAUAGGUUUUUGA
rnacentral:rRNA from 1 species